rnacentral:lncRNA from 1 species
UCCAGGAAGGAAGGGGACUGCCAGCCUGUGAACGUGGGCCAGAAUAACACCGUCACCGUCCAGACCGAGGUGGAGAGGAGACGCUGGCCCCAGCAGGUGGAGAGCCCAGCCAGGCGAGAUCCAGGCCGUCCGCUCAGGGCGAGACACUCCCUGAUACAAAGCCGAGAAGUAGCAAGAGCAGCCUCGCCUCUGCUUUCAGAGGAGCCCCCGCUAGGAGGCCGCCCCGCGCGGGUGUCUCGGGUCCUCAUUCUUCCUCCCCGGCCGCUGCGUCCCGCGGGGAGCAGAGGUUUCGAACUGCCCAGAGUCGGUGAUUCUAAACUGCUGCUUGUGCCGCGUGUGGACUAUUUCCCCUGCACACAAGGGAGGAAAAUGCAGACAGGAGAGGUGAUUUCAACGUAAGGUGGAACGGGUGUUGAGAACUAACGCUGAAGACACGGGAGGACGGCUGGAGUUGGGAACAGGUUUAGGCAAACGGUGGUGAAGUAAGCUGAAGGAUUGAGUGCUUUUAUUUUUCAAUAAAACUGUUUCUUUGUUGGCA